CCACCUCUCCAACCCUAAUCGUCUUCGACGUAGACGAUGAUCGUGUCUGGCGCUUCCAUUCCCUGCAAUCGCCGUUUCUCCUCUGUAUUUAUCACAACCAGUAUGGAUCAUUAACCUCUAUUCUUCAAUCCUUUCUUAGUGGUUUCGUUCCACCUCUCAUUGUUGCUCCUCCAUUUUAACCUCUAAUGUUACGUCAAACCAAAAUCUACCUCCUUUGAGAGAAGAAGAUCUCGCUAUGGCCAUGAAGCCUGCUAAAUCCACCGGAAAGUCUCCUGCACCCUCAAUUUUAAUGACGUCUCACCAGGCCAGUCGAAUCGGAACACCGAUUCCGAUUAAUCCAAUUUCUGGGAGGCGAGAAAUACAUAAAAAAAGGUUGGAUUCUUAUUGGCUUGGAACUGCUCCUCGUCUAUGAACAAAAAAGAUGGUUGUUUAAACUCUGUACCGCAAGAAAAAAAAUAUGUUAUGGUUACAACUUACGACCCAUGGAAGCAUGAGACCAUUCACAUGAAGAGAAGAUGUCUGACAAAGGGUUGGUUGUAAAUUCUGAUGGAGAAUAAGAGUACGGUGAUGGCGGCCGUCACUUCUUUACUCAGUGAUGGAAUACAUAUUGGGGUUUUAGUCCAAGGGAAGAUGGUUAGAGAAGAGAAAAUGUCAACAACACUCUAUCACAGAGUGGUCGUUCGUGUAGAGAGAAGGCAACCUAGGCUUCAUCUUGGAUCUUAGUCCUGGAAAACUGACCUAAGUCAGAGAGGAGUGGUUGUUGACAGAUCGUUCAAACACAGAUCAACAAAUCAAUCAGAACAUAGGCGGAUAAAGGAUCUACGAGGAUACUUUGAGGACGGUUGCUUCAACGGAGUCCUUGCAGUCACAAGUGCCAUUGAGAACUGGGAACUGAAGAUUCCUUUCACUGGCUCCUCUUCACCUCUGAUCUCAGACCCAAAGAUUCAGCAAACUAUUCUAACAGAGGACGAUGACUUCUUAAUUUCAGCAUGUGAUAUAUUGUCAAGCCGGAAUGCAGUGAGUAACAUAACUCAAAGACUGAGGCGCGGGGAUCCAAGACAAUAUGUUGUGGUCAUAUGCUUCUCCUCAGUUCCGACAAACCUCAUCAACCGCAGAGGAUGGUUAAGGUUUUGUGUAUCUGAUGAAGCCCGAGCUCAGUUACAACUUACAACCCGAUGCUUGGAAGGGGCUGAAACCAGUCUUUUUGGCAGUAUAUAUAAAGAGAGAUCGUAGUUCAAAUAAAAAAUAUAAAGAGGGAUCGAUAUUAGACCGGUCCAGCGAUUAGUUCUCUAAUUUGCGAUCAGUUUCAGUGAGAUAGAAUAAAAAUUUACAUAGAGGUAGAGACGAGAAAACAUGUUUGUAAUGUGGUUGGUCAUUUCUGAUUCCUCUGUUUGUUCGGUUAUUUAGAAGAGAGUACAAGAGAAAAAAGAAAACAUGUAGUUUUGUUAGGACUUAGGACUAUUGAAAUCAUAAAUUAUUUGCAAGUCAAACAACAUACGAUUACUCAGUAGUUGAAAUCUCUGGGUUUUAUUACUCUUCAUAUGAUUGUGUGUUUUUUUAAGUU